GGCCAAUCUGAGGAUGGUGACUAAGCCAGAGGUGGGGCACAGGGCACUGAAAGUGGAACAGAGAUGUGCCAGUCCCAAGGAAGGGCACACUACACAGUGUUCAAGGCUCUCAGCAAGGUAGCUCAGGAUGAUGCGGGCCCAACCUCGGUCAGAUUUUGUCACGUCCUAAGCCCCGGCAUUCCCAUCUGUAAAUCACAGUCACUAUCUACACACAACGGUGCUAUCACCCGAGGUUAUCAGAAAAGCGGUUUCUUGGGAGCCAGGGAGUUCAGAGUUCAUGAAUAAAUGAAGAAGGAGGAAGCAAAAAAGGAUGUUUAUUGAUCCACAAAUCUCUCCGUGCCAGAGUCUGCCCCACAAAUGCUUCAGUCUGCAGUCCUGUGUAGCUUGGCGUGUAUACAAACAUGCACACAGACCGCUGACAGACUCCUCUUACCCCGUAACAGACUGGUGGCCGUACCAGCAACCCCAGCACUCUGGAGGCUGAGGCUGGAGGAUCGAAGUUCAAGGUCAUCGUCACCCACAGAUCAAGGCACAGUGCUGGGUCUGAUGGGACAGGAGCCACUUCACAUCCUGAGCAGCUGAGCCAGGCCAGGUAGGGAUCCUCAGCACACACUAACGAAAGGAAAUCUUUUUAAACUGUCUUUACUUCUGCUAAGAGCCACAGUGUAAGGGGCUGGAGAGAUGGCUCAGAGGUUAAGAGCACUGGCGGCUCCUCCAGAGGACUCAGGUCCGUUCCCAGCACCGAUG
rnacentral:lncRNA from 1 species